rnacentral:rRNA from 1 species
UACGGAGGGUGCAAGCGUUAAUCGGAAUUACUGGGCGUAAAGCGCGCGUAGGCGGUUAGUUAAGUUAGAUGUGAAAGCCCCGGGCUCAACCUGGGAACUGCAUUUAAAACUGGCUAACUAGAGUAUGGUAGAGGAGAGUGGAAUUUCAGGUGUAGCGGUGAAAUGCGUAGAUAUCUGAAGGAACACCAGUGGCGAAGGCGGCUCUCUGGACCAACACUGACGCUGAGGUGCGAAAGCGUGGGUAGCAAACGGG